GAAACCAACCUUGCCACUGUACACUGGAGAAGCCUGGUUGCUUGCCUCCUACCUGCUGACUAUGGCCCCUUGUGAAUUUGUACUUUUGAAUGCAAUAUUUGGGCAUGUGGUAUUUUAUAUUGCUGCUACUGGCCCUUUAAGGGCCAUCUGUGGACAGAUUAUGACUGUUAGGAAUAAUGCCCUUUAAGACUGUGUAGCAGAUUGCAUUCAGGCUGUAUUUAAUAUUAUGUGUUCGGUAAACAGUGUUAUGUAUAUGCAGCAUUCCCCUGAUUGUUCGGUAGAAUCACUCCAUUCAUUAUACUGAGUGAAACUACCGAACAACCAGACCACCCUGGAGUAAGU